rnacentral:rRNA from 1 species
UACGGAGGAUGCAAGCGUUAUCCGGAUUUAUUGGGUUUAAAGGGUGCGCAGGUUGUUUGAUAAGUCAGUGGUGAAAGUCUGUCGCUUAACGGUAGGAUUGCCAUUGAUACUGUUAGACUUGAAUAUGGAUGAGGUAGGCGGAAUGUGUAGUGUAGCGGUGAAAUGCAUAGAUAUUACACAGAACACCGAUUGCGAAGGCAGCUUACUAAUCCAUCAUUGACGCUAAGGCACGAAAGCGUGGGGAUCAAACAGGAUUA